AAAUCGUACCCCAAACCGACACAGGUGGUCAGGUAGAGAAUACCAAGGCGCUUGAGAGAACUCGGGUGAAGGAACUAGGCAAAAUGGUGCCGUAACUUCGGGAGAAGGCACGCUGAUGUGUAGGUGAAGCCCCUGCGGGUGGAGCUGAAAUCAGUCGAAGAUACCAGCUGGCUGCAACUGUUUAUUAAAAACACAGCACUGUGCAAACACGAAAGUGGACGUAUACGGUGUGACGCCUGCCCGGUGCCGGAAGGUUAAUUGAUGGGGUUAGCGGCAACGCGAAGCUCUUGAUCGAAGCCCCGGUAAACGGCGGCCGUAACUAUAACGGUCCUAAGGUAGCGAAAUUCCUUGUCGGGUAAGUUCCGACCUGCACGAAUGGCGUAAUGAUGGCCAGGCUGUCUCCACCCGAGACUCAGUGAAAUUGAACUCGCUGUGAAGAUGCAGUGUACCCGCGGCAAGACGGAAAGACCCCGUGAACCUUUACUAUAGCUUGACACUGAACACUGGUCCUUGAUGUGUAGGAUAGGUGGGAGGCUUUGAAGCGUGGACGCCAGUCUGCGUGGAGCCAACCUUGAAAUACCACCCUUUAAUGGCUGGUGUUCUAACGUAGACCCGUAAUCCGGGUUGCGGACAGUGUCUGGUGGGUAGUUUGACUGGGGCGGUCUCCUCCCAAAGAGUAACGGAGGAGCACGAAGGUUGGCUAAUCCUGGUCGGACAUCAGGAGGUUAGUGCAAUGGCAUAAGCCAGCUUGACUGCGAGCGUGACGGCGCGAGCAGGUGCGAAAGCAGGUCAUAGUGAUCCGGUGGUUCUGAAUGGAAGGGCCAUCGCUCAACGGAUAAAAGGUACUCCGGGGAUAACAGGCUGAUACCGCCCAAGAGUUCAUAUCGACGGCGGUGUUUGGCACCUCGAUGUCGGCUCAUCACAUCCUGGGGCUGAAGUAGGUCCCAAGGGUAUGGCUGUUCGCCAUUUAAAGUGGUACGCGAGCUGGGUUUAGAACGUCGUGAGACAGUUCGGUCCCUAUCUGCCGUGGGCGCUGGAGAAUUGAGGGGGGCUGCUCCUAGUACGAGAGGACCGGAGUGGACGCAUCACUGGUGUUCGGGUUGUCAUGCCAAUGGCACUGCCCGGUAGCUAAAUGCGGAAGAGAUAAGUGCUGAAAGCAUCUAAGCACGAAACUUGCCCCGAGAUGAGUUCUCCCUGAGACUUUAAGUCUCCUGAAGGAACGUUGAAGACGACGACGUUGAUAGGUCGGGUGUGUAAGCGCAGCGAUGCGUUGAGCUAACCGAUACUAAUGAACCGUGAGGCUUAACCUU
rnacentral:rRNA from 1 species